UACGAAGGCCCCAAGCGUUAUUCGGAGUUAUUGGGCGUAAAGGGUCCGCAGGCGGCCCGUUAAGUCAAAGGUUAAAUCUUGAGGCUCAACCUCAAGCCCGCCUUUGAAACUGACAGGCUAGAGUCCGGGAGAGGUAAACGGAAUUGCUGGUGUAGUAGUAAAAUGCGUUAAUAUCAGCAGGAACACCAAAUGCGAAGGCAGUUUACUGGAACGGUACUGACGCUCAGGGACGAAAGCGUGGGGAGCGAAUCGG
rnacentral:misc_RNA from 1 species